rnacentral:rRNA from 1 species
UGACCGCUGGCGGCGUGCCUACUACAUGCACGUCGAGCGAACAGAUGAGGAGCUUGCUCCUCUGACGUUAGCGGCGGACGGGUGAGUAACACGUGGAUAACCUACCUAUAAGACUGGGAUAACUUCGGGAAACCGGAGCUAAUACCGGAUAAUAUAUUGAACCGCAUGGUUCAAUAGUGAAAGACAGUUUUGCUGUCACUUAUAGAUGGAUCCGCGCCGCAUUAGCUAGUUGGUAAGGUAACGGCUUACCAAGGCAACGAUGCGUAGCCGACCUGAGAGGGUGAUCGGCCACACUGGAACUGAGACACGGUCCUGACUCCUACGGGAGGCAGCAGUAGGGAAUCUUCCGCAAUGGGCGAAAGCCUGACGGAGCAACGCCGCGUGAGUGAUGAAGGUCUUCGGAUCGUAAAACUCUGUUAUUAGGGAAGAACAAAUGUGUAAGUAACUAUGCACGUCUUGACGGUACCUAAUCAGAAAGCCACGGCUAACUACGUG